GAUGAACGCUGGCGGCAUGCCUAACACAUGCAAGUCGAACGAGACCUUCGGGUCUAGUGGCGCACGGGUGCGUAACGCGUGGGAAUCUGCCCUUGGGUUCGGAAUAACAGUUAGAAAUGACUGCUAAUACCGGAUGAUGACUUCGGUCCAAAGAUUUAUCGCCCAGGGAUGAGCCCGCGUAGGAUUAGCUUGUUGGUGAGGUAAAAGCUCACCAAGGCUACGAUCCUUAGCUGGUCUGAGAGGAUGAUCAGCCACACUGGGACUGAGACACGGCCCAGACUCCUACGGGAGGCAGCAGUGGGGAAUAUUGGACAAUGGGCGAAAGCCUGAUCCAGCAAUGCCGCGUGAGUGAUGAAGGCCUUAGGGUUGUAAAGCUCUUUUACCCGGGAUGAUAAUGACAGUACCGGGAGAAUAAGCCCCGGCUAACUCCGUGCCAGCCGCCGCGGUAAAAC
rnacentral:rRNA from 1 species